AAAGAAGGAUCGUGUCCAUAGA
rnacentral:miRNA from 1 species